rnacentral:rRNA from 1 species
CCCUUAGAUGUUCUGGGCCGCACGCGUGCUACACUGAGUGGAUCAGCGGGUCAGGUUGCGCGAAAGUGUUUCCUAAUCUUGAAAUCCGCUCGUGAUGGGGAUUGACGGUUGCAAUUUUCCGUCAUGAACGAGGAAUACCUUGUAAGCGCGGGUCAUCAUCCCGCGCUGAAUACGUCCCUGCCCUUUGUACACACCGCCCGUCGCUCCUACCGAUUGAGUGGUCCGGUGAGGCUUUGGGAUCUGAGCGGAAAGAGCGUUUCGCUGUUUCUGCUCGGAAAACUCAGUCGAACCUUAUCAUUUAGAGGAAGGGGAAGUCGCGACA